UCACAAUCAGCCCUGACCUGCUGCUCCCUUGUGGCUUGUCAGGCCAUGGGGACGGGCCCUCAAAAGGGAGGAACUGGGCCCAGUUUUGCUACCCACUCCUGCCUGGGAAGGGGGCGGCACUGCUAAGAGGGAAGCCAGAGGGAUAUACUGCACACCCCAGGACUGCACUGCUGUCACCCAGGGAACAAUGAAUGAGGUGUGAGGUGAUGAUGUAAGUAAAGUUCAGACGAAGUUCGCCAGGGAAAAGAGAAGCUGUGCUUGAUCACUGUUUUCCAGCUUCCAUGUCAGUAAGCAUCUUUGGGAAGAUGGGAAUAAUAUGACUGGGAGAGGAGCAUGGCCAAAAAUAUUGCAGGAUUUCUUUUGGAUUGAGCUGGUUUAUAAAUAGGACGAGAUGCCCCCAGGUCCCAGGCAAUAUGAUAUUUAAGAUGAAUACUUAUAAACUUGUCUGAUAAGUUUCUAGCAA